rnacentral:rRNA from 1 species
AACGUAGGGGGCAAGCGUUGUCCGGAAUCAUUGGGCGUAAAGCGCGUGUAGGCGGCUCGGUAAGUCCGCUCUGAAAGCCCGGGGCUCAACCCCGGGAGGCGGGUGGAUACUGCUGAGCUCGAGUCCGGAAGAGGAGUGUGGAAUUCCUGGUGUAGCGGUGAAAUGCGCAGAUAUCAGGAGGAACACCAAUGGCGAAGGCAGCACUCUGGGACGGUACUGACGCUGAGGUGCGAAAGCGUGGGGAGCAAACAGG